rnacentral:rRNA from 1 species
ACACAUUUAUUUUUAUUUUCAAAUAUAGAAAUUAUUUAAAUUUUACUAAUAAAUCCUUUUUCUAAAAUAAAUUUAUUUAUAUAUCCUUAAAUAAAAUUUAAUGUAACCCAUUAUAAACUAUUAUAUUGUCUACACCUUUACCUAACUUACUAGAAAUAUCUUUUAGGAAUGAUAUUAUAAAAAUAAAUUCUUUAGACGGAGGUAUAUAAAAUAUUAAUAAUAGUAAAAAUUAACGUGGAUUAUCGAUUAUUUAACAGGUU